AUUCAGGUGGCCUAGGGGUUAUAGCAUCCACCUUGGAUGUGGGAGGUCGUGGGUUUGAAACCCAUCCGAGACA